UACGUAGGGUGCAAGCGUUAUCCGGAAUCACUGGGCGUAAAGCGUGCGUAGGCGGGAAUUUAAGUGAGGUGUUAAAUCGUGUGGCUCAACCAUAUCGAUGCAUCUCAUACUGGGUUCCUAGAGGAUGGCAGAGGCAAGUGGAAUUGGUAGUGUAGCAGUGAAAUGCGUAGAUAUUACCAGGAACACCAAUGGCGAAGGCAGCUUGCUGGGCCACCCCUGACGCUGAGGUACGAAAGCGUGGGGAGCGAACAGG
rnacentral:rRNA from 1 species